rnacentral:rRNA from 1 species
UUAGAUUUCAUUGCACUUUUGGAAACUGGACGAGAUAAUUUCACAUCCCAAUUCCUCCAAACCCUUUCCAGUGGUAUCGAUUUUGACUGGCACAUUUUACCUCCUAGAGGAAGAUCCGGCGGGAUUUUACUAGGAGUACGGUGUGAGACGUUAGAGGUGCUUAAUGUGGUGCAGGGAGACUUUUCGGUUAAAUUCAGGGUGAGAUCAAAAUUGGAUGGGUUUCGAUGGUCGCUAGUUGCGGUAUAUGGGGCAGCGCAACCUGAAUUUAAACCCGAUUUUCUUGCCGAUUUAGUGCGGAUUUGUGGAGAUGAAAAUCUGCCACUACUAGUCGGGGGGGAUUUUAAUAUCAUUCGGAGAAGAGAAGAAAAGAAUAAUGACAAUUUCGAUGGACGUUGGUCUAUGAUGUUUAACAUGAUUAUCGAGAGCCUCAAUUUGAGAGAAAUUGAGCUCACCGGUAGACAGUUUACAUGGUCCAACUCGCUACCUGUUCCGACUUAUGAAAAGUUGGAUAGGGUACUUGCUAGUGUGGAGUGGGAACAAAAAUAUCCGUUGGUGUCGGUUCAUGCGAUGCAAAGAGCGAUCUCGGAUCAUACACCACUCUUUUUAGAUUCGGGAGAGGCUACCCAUGUUGCAAACAAA